UGAGGAAUAUUGGACAAUGGAGGAAACUCUGAUCCAGCCAUGCCGCGUGAGUGAUGAAGGCCUUAGGGUCGUAAAACUCUUUCGAUGGGGAAAAUAAUGAUGGUACCCAUAUAAGAAGCUCCGGCUAACUCCGUGCCAGCAGCCGCGGUCAUACGGAGGGAGCUAGAGUUAUUCGGAUUUACUGGGCGUAAAGCGCGUGUAGGUGGCUUAAACAGCCAGAGGUGAAAUCCCGGAGCUUAACUCCGGAAC
rnacentral:rRNA from 1 species